rnacentral:rRNA from 1 species
GCUAGUGCCCCCCUGCCAGGCACUCAAUUGGACAUCCUCCAAAACUUGGUGGCUAAUACACGUCUGCCCAGGUCUGCCAUGACAUACCUGCUUGGGGUACCGGUCCUCCGCGGCCACACCCCCGGAUGGUGGAUUGCACCCAGCUGCUGCGAAGACCAGCGCCAGGGAAUGGCAGUGUGUCUGGUUGACUCAGGCUGGUCCCUCUGAGGACGGAUGUGCUGGCAGAGUGGUGGCCUCGGCCACGAAUGCACUGCUUGAUCACACGAACUUCUGACCUAUCAGCCUUGACUGUGGUGUAGGGGACCACAGUGGCCCUCACGGGUAACGGAGAAUCUGGGUUCGAUUCCGGAGAGGGAGCCUGAGAAACGGCUACCACUGCCAAGGCGGGCAGCAGGCGCGCAAAUUGCCCAAUGCCAAAGCAAACGGCGAGGCAGCAACGAUCAGCAGCAAUUCUGCCAGCACCUGUUGCUGGUGGAACUUGGAAUGGAUGCUAUCCAAACAUCGCGAUGAGUACCAACUGGAGGGCAAGUCUGGUGCCAGCAGCUGCGGUAAUUCCAGCUCCAGUGGCGUAUACUAACAUUGCUGCGGUUGAAACGUUUGUAGUCUGCCUCUGGGUGACUUGGUCUGCCAGGCGGCCCGCCUGUGGGUGAGGGGAGACCCGAGCCUGCACGAGCCAUCAAACCCUGGCAGUGAGUCCAGCACCCGCCUAUGGAUGGCCUGAGCAGCUCUUGCGCGAAGCCCCCUUCAGUGGAGGUUGAGGCAGUUGGUGCACCCAACACCUGCAUGGACAGCAAUGGGUGUGUGGCCCCGCGUCGCACAAGUUCCACCCAGUCCGCUACCAGAGCCGGCCAUCAAUGACACUAUGGAAAACUCAGUGUGCUCAACGCAUCCAGUCUUGGCUGAAUGCCUGUCCAUGGAAUGUCACAGCAUCGACCGAAGGGGCCAUGGAGUUGUGCUGGCCUUGGUGCCCAUUCUGGGCAAACGGGUGACUGUCCCCUGGUUGUGGGCCUCAAAAACCCACGUCCGGGGCAAGGGCCACGUGGACCGGUUCGCCCGGACCCCACUGGAUUCCUGCCCCAGCCAGCGGUGGCAGCAUCUAGCGGACAUGAUGGGAUCGUUCAGGGUGAAAGGUACUGCAGCGCCAGAGGUGAAAUUCUUAGACCGCUGCCAGACCAACAGCGGCGCAGGCGUUCUGCAAGGGCGUGUCCGUCGAUCAAGAGCGAGAGCCUGGGGAUCGAAGAUGAUCAGACACCGUCGUAGUCCAGGGCCGUAAACUAUGUCAGCUCGGCGACAGCUGGGUAAACUGCCAGACCCACGCUGCUGCCAUCACCCCCUGCAUCGAGAAAUCCAAGCCUUUGGAUUCCGGGGGGAGUACAGUUGCAAGGCUGAAACUUAAAGGAAUUGACGGAAUGGCACCACAAGGCGUGGAGUAUGCGGCUUAAUUUGACUCAACACGGGGAACGUUACCAGGUCAGGACGAAGCCGGGAUGGACAGAUUGAGAGCUCUUUCUUGAUCCUUCGGAUGGUGGUGCAUGGCCGCUCCUGAUUGGUGGAGUGAUUUGUCUGGUUGAUUCCGAUAACGAGUGAGACCUCCGCCUCCCACUAGCCCCUGGGCCGUACCUUGUAGGACUGGCCGUGGGUUGGCUUCGGCCCUCGCACCCCUCGGGGUGGCCCUCGAUUCACACCGUCCGAGGCCCAGGGUUUCGCUUCUCUGAGGUGCUGUGUCCGUUCCAAAGGACAUGCAUGCUAGAGCCAACAGCAGGUCUGUGAUGCUCCCAGAUGUCCUGGGCCGCACGCGCACUACAUUGACUCAGUGAGGGUGUGACCUCCGCCUCGCGCGGAGCCUGCACAGAAGUGUGUGGGAAAUCCUGCAAGCCUGAGCUGUACUGGGGAUAGAUGAUUGCAACUGUCUGCCUUGAACGAGGAAUGCCUAGUAUGCG